UACGAAGGGGGCUAGCGUUGCUCGGAAUCACUGGGCGUAAAGGGUGCGUAGGCGGGUCUUUAAGUCAGGGGUGAAAUCCUGGAGCUCAACUCCAGAACUGCCUUUGAUACUGAAGAUCUUGAGUUCGGGAGAGGUGAGUGGAACUGCGAGUGUAGAGGUGAAAUUCGUAGAUAUUCGCAAGAACACCAGUGGCGAAGGCGGCUCACUGGCCCGAUACUGACGCUGAGGCACGAAAGCGUGGGGAGCAAACAGGGA
rnacentral:rRNA from 1 species